GGGUAAGUCUCCUACGAUCUGCUCCCUUUUAACUCCCCCAGGACAGGAAUGUAGCAAGGGUACAUCGGUUGUAGCGAUGCGAUAGAAGUAGCUUGCCCUUU
rnacentral:SRP_RNA from 1 species